GAGCGCAGGCGGUGCGGCAAGUCUGAUGUGAAAGCCCGGGGCUCAACCCCGGUACUGCAUUGGAAACUGUCGUACUAGAGUGUCGGAGGGGUAAGUGGAAUUCCUAGUGUAGCGGUGAAAUGCGUAGAUAUUAGGAGGAACACCAGUGGCGAAGGCGGCUUACUGGACGAUAACUGACGCUGAGGCUCGAAAGCGUGGGGAGCAAACA
rnacentral:rRNA from 1 species